CCUCCUUAACGACGAAGACCUCUGUUCCGUUCAGGGCCCACACGUUUGCUUGUCUGUAGUUGAAGGGUGUAGACGCUUUCUAUAGGUCUGUAGCUCAGUUGGUUAGAGCGCACCCCUGAUAAGGGUGAGGUCGGCAGUUCAAAUCUGCCCAGACCUACCAAUUUCAGCACGGUUUUGGGGCCUUAGCUCAGCUGGGAGAGCGCCUGCCUUGCACGCAGGAGGUCAGCGGUUCGAUCCCGCUAGGCUCCACCAGCUUGCUGCAAUGGGUUGGAAAGCGCUGAAGAAGUCAGAAUCAAGCAUUGUUUUGCUUGCUUCUGACUUUUUAGUCGGACACCGCAAUCUUCAUGAUUCGGUUAGCUCUUUAAAAAUUUGGGAAAUGAGAAGUCCAUGUAUUCAAUGAAUACGCAAGCGUCUAAGAAGUAUCUCUGACACUUGUGUCUUUAUGGUGAAUCGUUAUCACA
rnacentral:misc_RNA from 1 species